rnacentral:misc_RNA from 1 species
UUACAUAAAAUGAGAGUAGAGAAGAGGAUCUAUAAAGGGUUUCUUUUCAUCCUUCUUUUAAUCAUCCUCAAUGCUCUUUUACUCAGUGUGUUAGAGGAACGGUUGUACAGAACUCUUCUUGAUACGGUCUCUUACGGUCAUCAUGCAGUACGUGAAGUGCAACUAGAAAAACAACAAUAUACAGAAAAUGAACUAGUUAUAAGCUUUGAAGAAGACGGAAGAUUUGGAAACCUGCUGCUUGAGACUGGUACUCUCCUCCUAGUAGGGAGACGAGUAAAUAAAACCGUAAGCCUGCUCCCUCAAGUUGCAAAAAAACUUAAAAACUAUUUUGAUAAACUUCCCAUGGAACCGAUUGACAGUAAGAGGCAUUGUGUGUGCAGCCGGUGUCAGGAGUGUACAUGUGAGUACUGCAAUAAGUGGCACAAAAUGCCGUCCUAUCAUUACCACGUUGACUCAAAACUCAGAUCUCGAUAUCUUCUCCUACAGUGGUUUGAUUCUAACCUCGUGGUUCGAAAUCUGGCAGAGAUCUCAGCUAUAUAUAGAUCCUUACUCAGGAUAGAUCUUGUAAAUCAGGUUAUAGAAACCUAGCAGAGAUCUCAGCUUUAUAUAGAUCCAUACUCAGGGUAGAGAUCUUGUAAAUCAGGUUUUAGAAACCUAGCAGAGAUCUCAGCAAUAUAGAUCCUUACUCAGGGUAGAUCUUGUAAAUCAGGUUAUAGAAACCUAGCAGAGAUCUCAGCUAUAUAUAGAUCCUUACUCAGAAUAGAUCUUGUAAAUCAGUUUAUAGAAACCUAGCAGAGAUCUCUGCUUUAUAUAGAUCCAUACUCAGGGUAGAUCUUGUAAAUCAGGUUAUAGAAACCUAGCAGAGAUCUCAGCUAUAUAUAGAUCCUUACUCAGGAUAGAUCUUGUAAAUCAGGUUCAGAUGUAUUUACGAGAUCUAUCUGGUCAUGUUCCUCAUGUUUAUGUCGGGGUUCAUGUUCGUAGAACAGAUUACAUAAACUACAUACAGACUAGAUACA